UAAAAAGAUAUUAAGGGCCAUAGGUGGAUGCCUUGGCUGGUAGAGGCGAUGAAAGGCGUAAUAGGCUGCGAAAAGCCUCGGGGAGCUGCCAAUAAGCUUUGAUCCGGGGAUUUCUGAAUGGGGCGACCCAGCAUGGAGCGAUUCAUGUUACCUACUUCGGUAGGGGCGAACUCAGGGAAGUGAAACAUCUCAGUACCUGAAGGAAGAGAAAUCAAACGAGAUUCCCAUAGUAGCGGCGAGCGAAAAGGGAAUAGGGCGGAUAGUGAUAGCAUAGAUAUUAGCAGAACACUUUGGAAAGAGUGAGCAUAGAGGGUGAUACUCCCGUAAGCGAAAAUAUUUAUGUGGUACUAGAUUAUCGAACGAGUAGGUCGGGACACGUGUUAUCUUGACUGAAUAUGGGGGGACCACCCUCCAACCCUAAAUACUACUACCAGACCGAUAGCGAACUAGUACCGUGAGGGAAAGGUGAAAAGGACCGCGGUGAGCGGAGUGAAAUAGAACCUGAAACCUAUGGCUUACAAUCAUUCGGAGCACUAUUGUCGUAAGACAAGUGUGACGGACUGCCUUUUGCAUAAUGAGCCUGCGAGUUGUGGUAUCUGGCAAGGUUAAUCUAACGAGAAGCCGUAGCGAAAGCGAGUCUUAAUAGGGCGUCGCCACCUCACUGAAGCCAUUUAGAAGUUUUAGCAAGUAUAUCUCAAAGAUAUUCAAGGCAGUUUUAAAGUAGCGAUACUAGUAUCGUGAGUUUGAAACUAACGAAGAAGAUCAAAGAGAGAUACUUGUUACAAGUAAUGAUUUUAUUAAGAGUCAUUAAGCACAGAAUUUUCCAUCAGCAUAGUAAACUAUGCUUCAAGAAAAGUUCUGCACUUACUAACUAUUACUAAAACCACUAAAAAUUCUAAAUGGCUUCAGUGAGGUGGCACAAGUCAGAUGCUGCAGACCCGAAACUAAGUGAUCUAUCCAUGUGCAGGUUGAAGCUGGUGUAAGAGCCAGUGGAGGACCGAACCCGUAUAGGUUGAAAACUGUUGGGAUGACAUGUGGAUAGGGGUGAAAGGCCAAUCAAACUUAGUGAUAGCUGGUUCUCUCCGAAAUAUAUUUAGGUAUAGCCUCGAGCAUUAGCAUGAAGGGGUAGAGCACUGACAGGGCUAGGGCUGCUUACCGCGGUACCAAACCCUAUCAAACUCCGAAUACUUCAUGUGUAACCUCGGGAGUCAGGCGUAGGGUGAUAAAAUCCUAUGUCGAGAGGGAACAACCCAGACUAACAGCUAAGGUCCCAAAGUCUUGUCUAAGUGGAAAAGGAUGUGGAGUUGCUGUGACAACCAGGAGGUUGGCUUAGAAGCAGCCAUCCUUUAAAGAAAGCGUAACAGCUCACUGGUCUAGCGAUUCUGCGCCGAAAAUAUAACGGGGCUAAGACAAGCACCGAAGCUUUAGAUUUGGUAUUACUACCAAGUGGUAGGAGAGCGUUCCAUUCAGCGUUGAAGGUACACCGGUAAGGAGUGCUGGAGCGGAUGGAAGUGAGCAUGCAGGCAUGAGUAGCGAGAAAAGGGAUGAGAAUUCCCUUCGCCGUAAACCCAAGGUUUCCUACGCGAUGCUCGUCAUCGUAGGGUUAGUCGGGACCUAAGACGAGUCCGAAAGGGGUAGUCGAUGGCAAAUAGGUUAAUAUUCCUAUACCGACAUUACAUCAUUUGAGUGAUGGGGGGACGCAUAGAGUUAGACGAGGUCACUGAUGGAAUAGUGGCUCGAAGGAAGUAGGUUGAAGAGUAGGCAAAUCCGCUCUUCAUGCAACCGAGAUCUUACAGGCAGACCAAUCACUUCGGUGAGCGGUUUGAAUCGUCGAUACUGUCGUGCCGAGAAAAGCCUCUAAACGAGAUGUAAUGUUGCCCGUACCGUAAACCAACACAGGUGGGUGAGAUGAGUAUUCUAAGGCGCGUGGAUGAACCAUUGUUAAGGAACUCUGCAAAAUAGCACCGUAUCUUCGGUAUAAGGUGUGCCCUACAUGUUAGGAGAUUUACUCUCCAAAGCAUUAAAGGGUCGCAGCAAAGUGUCCCUCCCGACUGUUUACCAAAAACACAGCACUCUGCUAACUCGUAAGAGGAUGUAUAGGGUGUGACGCCUGCCCGGUGCUCGAAGGUUAAAAGGAUUGCUUAGCUCCGGCGAAGGCAUGAAUUGAAGCCCGAGUAAACGGCGGCCGUAACUAUAACGGUCCUAAGGUAGCGAAAUUCCUUGUCGGUUAAAUACCGACCUGCAUGAAUGGCGUAACGAGAUGGGAGCUGUCUCAACAAUGGAUCCAGUGAAAUUGUAGUGGAGGUGAAAAUUCCUCCUACCCGCGGAAAGACGGAAAGACCCCGUGCACCUUUACUAUAGCUUGACACUGCUGUCGGGAUAUUCAUGUGCAGGAUAGGUGGGAGCCAUUGAUUCAUAGUCGCCAGAUUAUGAUGAGGCAUCCUUGAGAUACCACCCUUGAAUAUUCUGAUAGCUAACUCCGUACAAUUAUCUUGUGCGAGGACAAUGUCUGGUGGGUAGUUUGACUGGGGCGGUCGCCUCCUAAAAAGUAACGGAGGCUUACAAAGUUCGGCUCAGGUGGGUUGGAAAUCCACCGUAGAGUAUAAUGGCAUAAGCCGGACUGACUGUGAGACAUACAAGUCAAGCAGAGUCGAAAGACGGUCAUAGUGAUCCGGUGGUUCUGUGUGGAAGGGCCAUCGCUCAAAGGAUAAAAGGUACGCCGGGGAUAACAGGCUGAUCUCCCCCAAGAGCUCACAUCGACGGGGAGGUUUGGCACCUCGAUGUCGGCUCAUCGCAUCCUGGGGCUGGAGCAGGUCCCAAGGGUAUGGCUGUUCGCCAUUUAAAGCGGUACGCGAGCUGGGUUCAGAACGUCGUGAGACAGUUCGGUCCCUAUCUUCCGUGGGCGUAGGAUUGUUGAGGAGAGUUGACCCUAGUACGAGAGGACCGGGUUGAACGUGCCACUGGUGCACCAGUUGUUCUGCCAAGAGCAUCGCUGGGUAGCUACGCACGGAUGAGAUAACCGCUGAAAGCAUCUAAGCGGGAAGCCAACUCCAAGAUGAACAAUCCCUGAAGUACGCUUGAAGACUACAAGCUUGAUAGGCUGGAUGUGUACGCAGAGUAAUCUGUUUAGCUGACCAGUACUAAUAGUACGUUCGUCUUUUUUAA
rnacentral:rRNA from 1 species